rnacentral:rRNA from 1 species
GACGAACGCUGGCGGCGUGCUUAACACAUGCAAGUCGAACGGUAAGGCCCUUCGGGGUACACGAGUGGCGAACGGGUGAGUAACACGUGGGUGAUCUGCCCUGCACUUCGGGAUAAGCCUGGGAAACUGGGUCUAAUACCGGAUAGGACCACUGCCUGCAUGGGUGGUGGUGGAAAGCUUUUGCGGUGUGGGAUGGGCCCGCGGCCUAUGAGCUUGUUGGUGGGGUGAUGGCCUACCAAGGCGAGGGCGGGUAGCCGGCCUGAGAGGGUGACCGGCCACACUGGGACUGAGAUACGGCCCAGACUCCGUCGGGAGGCAGCAGUGGGGAAUAGUGCACAAUGGGCGCAAGCCUGAUGCAGCGACGCCGCGUGAGGGAUGACGGCCUUCGGGUUGUAAACCUCUUUCAGCACCGACGAAGCGCAAGUGACGGUAGGUGCAGAAGAAGGACCGGCCAACUACGUGCCAGCCGCCGCCAUAA